GAGGGGCCUUGAAGAGGUGCUUGGAUUGCAGGACCAGGCCCUAGUCAAUGGAUUAAUAAUGGGGGUCAGGGGUUAGGCCUGAGGGCUUUAAGAGGACAGUGAAUAAGCAGGUCUCUCUCUCUCUGCCCAGCCAUUUCUGCCAAGUGAGACGCUGCAUUGCUGUAAAGCCACCACCAAAGAAGACUGGCCAGGUGUGUUCCCUGGACUUUGGACUUCCUAGCCUCUGACACUGAGCACAGUGGCUCUGAGGCCAGCCAGGAGAGGCGGUCAUUGCAAGAGCACCUGAGCAGCAGUGCAGCUGGGAGCUCCCGCAUCUGUGACAAGACUGCAGGGGGCCAGCCUGCAGGAAGCUGGAUCUGGAAGAGAUCUCUAGGACCCCAGACCCAGGAAGCUUCUCGUGUGUUUAGUUUCUUGUUUAUUUUAAUUAACAUUUAUUAUUAAAUAAAACACAGAUACAGAAAGCCACACAAGACGAAUAAGCAGCUCACUGAAUUAUUACAGGAGGAAACUGUCAUCACGUCACCCUGGUCAAGACACAGAGCUGGGCCCCUCCACGGCCGUCCCUGCCUCCCCCAGGGGUGUCACUGUCAUGACGUGGGUAGCCCUCACUUCCUGUGCUUCUUUAGAGUCGGAUCCCACCAUGGUAUUUACAUGCUAGCUGAAAUAGUUUCAUGUGAAGAUGCUCCGCUCGUCCCCUGCUGGGUGGCCGGGAGGCCCAGCCACAGAGACGAGGCAGGAUAAAUGUCCGGUACUUUCCUUUUAUUUACCAGUUUUCAGGAUAAUGAAUUCUUCCCUGUUAUCCUCUGAAGGUGACCAGUUAUUUUAAAAAUAUCAUUAUGAAUGGAAAAAUCCAAGCAAGUGUGAUCACUUUCAAGACACCGCGGUUCUUCUGCUGUGGUCCCAAGUGUCCGACGAGCUCUGUGCCGUUUGCUGCGACAAGACUCUGAGCUCAUUUUGUGCUCUCCCUGACCUGUGCUGCAGACGGCCACUUCAGGGACUUCUUUCAUUGGGAACUGGCAUUUCAAGAUCAGAGUGUGGGUGAUAAGGAUCAUCGAUCCUGGGUGGUCCUUGUUUCCAGGCCUUUUCGGUGAGUGGAGGCAGGAUAUAUUUGAAAUAAAAUGCCUCUGAGUUCAUGCUGA